rnacentral:lncRNA from 10 species
GGUUAAGGUAGUUAAGGUGGGAGGAUAGCUUGAACUCACUGAGGUCCUGCAAUGAGCCAGCCACACACUCCAGUCUGGGUGACAGAGAGAGACUGUGUCUCAAAAACAAAACAAAACAAGACAAAACACCAUUACAAUGAUUUCCUUAGAAUACUGUUCCAUUGUCUAUUAGCAUCCAUUGUUGCUGAUGAGAAGGUAAUCCAGUUAAGAUUUAC